CCAAUAGCGUAUAUUAAAGUUGUUGCAGUUAAAAAGCUCGUAGUUGAAUUUCGAGACCGGUUUACUGGUCGUGCUUUUGUACGUAAUGGUAUAAUCGGUUUCUUUCUUCUGACUAACUAUAAUUCCAUUAAUUUGGUGUUAUGGGAAAUCAGGACUGUUACUUUGAAAAAAUUAGAGUGUUUAAAGCAGGCUCACGCUUGAAUACAUUAGCAUGGAAUAAAGGAAAAGGACGUUUGAUUCUAUUUUGUUGGUUUCUAGGAUCGACGUAAUGAUUAAUAGGGAUAGUUGGGGGCAUUAGUAUUCAAUUGUCAGAGGUGAAAUUCUUGGAUUUAUUGAAGACUAACUACUGCGAAAGCAUUUGCCAAGGAUGUUUUCAUUAAUCAAGAACGAAAGUUAGGGGAUCGAAGACGAUCAGAUACCGUCGUAGUCUUAACCAUAAACUAUGCCGACUAGGGAUCGGAUGAUGUUAAUUUUUUAAUGACUCAUUCGGCGCCUUAC
rnacentral:rRNA from 1 species